AUGCAAUUUCUGAGUUCUAGAACCAUGCAGUCAUCAUUGAAGCAUGUAGAACACACUAGGAAAAAUGGAAAGGCUCCUUAUUGGAGGGAUGGGCUGAAGAACAAGGACGGUGUCCAGAUGGGUAUUUUUUCUGUGCAUAGCGAAUUAGGAGGCAAAGAAAACUGCUGAAAAAAAUUGAUUUACAAAGUGGACACAGCCCUGUAAACUGUGUUGAAGUCAAGAGUUGAAGCGCUACCAGUCCCUAAGGAAGUCAGACACUCUGGUCACGCCGAUAACACUCACAGUUUCUGCUUUCCUGACUUCCAACAUCAUGGAUUCACCUUGCCCAUAUUAGAACCCUAUAAAAAAAUCUCAUAACUCAGUAAGUGUCUGACUUUUCUCACUCAUCAAUAUUUUGGGAGAAUCAUUCAUACAUUUUCAUAGUUGUUAUUUACCCAUAUUUAUUGCAGUGUAACAGGAAUUGGCAAACUUUUUCUGUAAAGCACAAAGUUGAAAAUAUACUAAAAUGUAUUUGUCUAUUUUAUUACUGAUGAACAUUGGGUUAUUUCCAGUUUUAAAUGUAGUACUGAUAUGAAUAUUCUCAUAUACUUGUUUUAGAGCACAUAUGUAUAUAUUUC
rnacentral:lncRNA from 1 species